AAGAGUGCACACACUGAAAUGUCUCGCCUUCUUAACUAAUCAUUGAUAUUAUGUUGAUAGUCCUAAGUAUAAAGCGUUAUUACAACUGUCACAUAAACUUAACAUUAAACAAGAUAGUUAAACAAAGACCAAUGAACCAUGAAAAUGAGGUCAAGGUCAGAUGAACCAUGCCAGGCAGACAUGUACAGCUAACAAUGCUUCUAUACAACAAAUAUAGUUGACCUAUUACUUAUAGUUUAAGAAAAAUAGACCAAAACACAAAAACUUAACACUGUCCAAUGAACCGUGCAAUUGAGGUCAUGGUCAAAUAAAACCUGCGGGACUGACAUAUAGAUCAUAAUAUAUUUCCAUACACCAAAUAUAGUUGACCUUUGGCAUAUAAUAUUAGAUAAAAAGAUCAAAACUUAAAAACUUAACUUUGACCACUGAACCAUGAAAAUGAGGUCAAGGUCAGAUGACAUCUGCCCGCUAGACAUGUACACCUUACAAUCAUUCCAUACAAC
rnacentral:lncRNA from 1 species